AGUCCCAUGGGCCUUGUACACACACUACAAGUCUGACUGACAACGCCGCGGAAAGUGAUGAAGGUUUUUUUUUUCCCGUAAGCUCUGUUGUUAGGGAAGAACAAGUACCGUUCGAAUAGGGCGGUACCUUGACGGUACCUAACCAGAAAGCCACGGCUAACUACGUGCCAGCAGCCGCGGUAAUACGUAGGUGGCAAGCGUUGUCCGGAAUUAUUGGGCGUAAAGGGCUCGCAGGCGGUUUCUUAAGUCUGAUGUGAAAGCCCCCGGCUCAACCGGGGAGGGUCAUUGGAAACUGGGGAACUUGAGUGCAGAAGAGGAGAGUGGAAUUCCACGUGUAGCGGUGAAAUGCGUAGAGAUGUGGAGGAACACCAGUGGCGAAAGGCGACUCUCUGGUCUGUAACUGACGCUGAGGAGCGAAAGCGUGGGGAGCGAACAGGAUUAGAUACCCCUGGGUAGUCCACGCACUUAAACCAUUGAGUUGCUUAAAUUGUUAGAGGGGGAUUCCGCCCCCUUUGGUGCUUGCAGCUAAACGCCAUUUAAGACACUCCCCCCCUGGGGGGAGUGACAGGUCCCAACCACUUAACUUCAAUGAUGAGGUCGAAGAGUGCGGCACAGCCCAAACGGGUUGGAACCAUGUGGGUUUAAUGUCCUGACAAUCAGCGUGCAAAAACUUUAACAAAGAUCGAUGGGAAAUUCCAAUCUGGA
rnacentral:rRNA from 1 species